rnacentral:rRNA from 1 species
AACCUGGUUGAUCCUGCCAGUAGUCAUAUGCUUGUCUCAAAGAUUAAGCCAUGCAUGUAUAAGUAUAAAUUUGUUUAUGGUGAAACUGCGAAUGGCUCAUUACAACGGUUAUAGUUUACUUGAGAUAUCACUACUGGAUACCCGUAGUAACUCUAGAGCUAAUACAUUCCUCGGGACUUAAGUCUCGUGUUUAUUAGAUGUCACCGAACAGGUCUCGGCCUGUAGGGGAGUCAUGAUAAAUCAACGAAUCGUGUUUACGAUGCUUCAAACAAGUUUCUGCCCCAUCAGCCUGGAUGGUUGUGUAUUGGACUACCAUCGCAGUUACGGGUAACGAGGAAUUAGGGUUCGAUUUCGGAGAGGGAGUCUGAGAAACGGCUACCACAUCUACGGAAGGCAGCAGGCGCGCAAAUUACCCAAUGUAAAUAAGUAUGAGGUAGUGACAAGAAAUACUAACGUGAGGCGAAAGUCUUGCGAUUAGAAUGGACUAAAUUUAAACAAUUUAGUGACGAGCAACUGGAGGGCAAGUCUGGUGCCAGCAGCCGCGGUAAUACCAGCUCCAGUAGC